ensembl:lncRNA
ACUAAAUGAAAAACAUUGAUAUUUAAAGGAGGACCAAACGUAUGGUGGCUUGCCUUUAACACGGAUGGUUAAAAUGUUAUAUAUAUCAGAGGUUGGAACUUGGAACCCAGAACCCAACCUGACGUCAUCGCAACAAACUCUCACUGCGCAUGCGUGUGAACUAUAAAAGGCAGGAUCGCGCGUUUGUUCUUCCCAGUUCCGUGUUUCUUGUGAAGGUAUGUGGGCUGUUGGACCAUGGAGGUUUCCUACAGUGCUUCCUCAGAUUUUGAUCAUACUGGAGCCAAAUGGAUGACCUUAAAUUCAUCAGACUUCGUUUCAUAAGUCUUUAACUCCCCAAAACAGGAGAAUUCUGUAAUUCAAGAGGACCACACAAUGAGAGACCCUUGACGAAUGGCCACAUGUGAAGGCGUUUGAGCGACCUGUGUUCCUGAAUGCCCUUCAGUGCCAAGCCCACGUGGAGCAGUGGAUGACAUACACGAGGGGUUUUCUCAAAGCAGACUAGUGUUUACCAGCCAUAGGAGAGGAAAUACCUUUUUAAAGUUUUAGAGUAUUAAAGUUGCUAUUAUUUUGACCUACUAGUGUUCCAACAUGCUUUUUGAGGCAUUCAAGUUUGUUCAACUUUAAUUUCUCAGAAUGCUUUCACUAAUUAUUGCUUGUAACUUGUUGGUUCUAUGCUUGUGUAAAUGGUCUUUCAGCAGGCAGUUACCUCUUUUACUGUUUCAAUAAAACUAGUUAAUGACUUUGCAUUUAUGAAAACUGUGUGUGGGGGGCUUUUUUUGUGUGUGACCUUUUUAUAGAGGUCAAAUAAUGUAAAUCAAGCUAAGCUUUCAGUGGUGUGAAAUUUGUGUGGGGGUCAUGCAAAUGUUAAAUUGUAUGAUUAAUGUAGGUUGUGUCUAAAAUGCAGGAACUUAGAGGUCAUUAUUUUUAGGUCCUAUCAAGAUAAUGGUGCUCUUAUGCAUUUAACACCAUAAUUAAAUACUAUACUGCACACGGUUUUAAAGCAUUCUUCCAUGUUAACCAAGCAGUAGCUCUUUACAUGUUUCUUCUGUUAUAUGAAUGGUCACAAAGCCUGCUUCUCCAAGGUUUUAAAUUAGUGAAUUGUACAUCCACUAAAAUUGAAAUAACUGACAUUUGUAUAGGGCACUAAGAAAUGUGUUCUGUCCCCAUUUGAUUCACAGACAGAAAAGGCAAUAUCAAUCUUUUGUACAAAAUAUACAGACGUCUUAAGACUUCAAGACAUCCCACACUAAAAAAAAAAACUCAUUCCGAUAAAUCCACCCAAUGCUGCAACAAUUCUCUCUUUUGUGUCUGCAGUGAUGUAACCGCAAUCUAUGAUCCAAAUAACCUGAAAACAAACAAACACAAGAACACUUUAAAUUAUGCAACUCUCCACAAAAAC